rnacentral:rRNA from 1 species
CCUACGGGAGGCAGCAGUGAGGAAUAUUGGUCAAUGGACGAAAGUCUGAACCAGCCAAGCCGCGUGAAGGAAGACUGCCCUAUGGGUUGUAAACUGCUUUUGUAAAAGGAUAAAACUGAAUACGUGUAUCCUGCUGCAAGUACUGUACGAAUAAGGAUCGGCUAACUCCGUGCCAGCAGCCGCGGUAAUACGGAGGAUCCGAGCGUUAUCCGGAUUUAUUGGGUUUAAAGGGUGCGUAGAUGGGUUGUUAAGUUAGUGGUGAAAGUUUGCGGCUCAACCGUGGAAUUGCCUUUAAUACUGGUAGUCUUGAGUGCAGUUGCGGUAGGCGGAAUGCAUGGUGUAGCGGUGAAAUGCUUAGAUAUCACACAGAACCCCGAUUGCGAAGGCAGCUUACUAAUCUGUAACUGACGUUGAGGCACGAAAGUGUGGGGAGCAAACAGGAUUAGAUACCCUUGUAGUC